GGGGGGGGGGGGCUAGGAUGAAAUUUGAAAAAAAAUAGGCAGGACAGGAGUUUUGAGUAAAAAAAAAAGGCAGGAUGAGACACUUUGCAAAAAAAAAAAAAGGCAGGAUGACAAUUUAGGUAAAAAAAGUCAGGAUAAACUAAUACAAAAAAAGGCAGGACCGAAUAGAGUGAAAAAUAAAAAGGCAGGACAGAGAUUACAACUAAAAAAAAAUGCAGGACAAAAUUUUUCAUCCUAGCCCCCCAUAAAAAUUAAAUGGUAGCUCCCUAAGCUAUCAAAGUUAAAGAUAUUCGAAUAAAUUAGAUUGAUAUGUCGUGUUGUGUCGCAAUUGAGAGUUCUUGUAAUUUAUUGUUGUUUUUAAAGUCAAAAGAAUUUUAAAGCAUUGCGGAUCAAUAUGAAUAUGAGAAUAGCUAGCGAGGUACCGCCAUCACCCAGCUUUUGAUAGAAAAUGUCGUUUGUUUGCAUAAAAUUGUCAAACAAUUUCACCUUUUGUACACUAGGCACAGUUUUCACAAUGUCGGACUAAUAUGUCCCCGUCCACUGUGCCUCAAACGAUGGACCCCCACGGAAACUUCCAAGUAUUCACCGUAAGUCACGAAAAGAAGUGGAUACUUCUAACACGAACAAUUAGCAUUUUCAG
rnacentral:lncRNA from 1 species